rnacentral:rRNA from 1 species
GAUGAACGCUGGCGGCGUGCUUAACACAUGCAAGUCGAACGGAAAGGCUCCUGCUUGCAGGGGUACUCGAGUGGCGAACGGGUGAGUAACACGUGGGUGAUCUGCCCUGCACUUCGGGAUAAGCCUGGGAAACUGGGGCUAAUACCGGAUAGGACGAUGGUUUGGAUGCCAUUGUGGAAAGUUUUUUCGGUGUGGGAUGAGUUCGCGGCCUAUCAGCUUGUUGGUGGGGUAAUGGCCUACCAAAGCGUCGACGGGUAGCCGGCCUGAGAGGGUGUACGCCCACAUUGGGACGGAGAUACGAGCAUAACUGCUACGGGAGGCAGCAGUGGAGAAAAUAACACAAUGAGCGCGAGCGUGAUGCAGCGACGCCGCGUGGGGGAAGACGGCCUUCGGGUUGUAAACUCCUUUAGCGAGGGACGAAGCGUAAGUGACGGUACCUGGAGGAGAAUCACCGGCUAACUACGUG